UACGAAGGGGGCUAGCGUUGUUCGGAAUUACUGGGCGUAAAGCGCACGUAGGCGGAUUGUUAAGUCGGGGGUGAAAUCCUGAGGCUCAACCUCAGAACUGCCUUCGAUACUGGCAAUCUCGAGUCCGGAAGAGGUUGGUGGAACAGCUAGUGUAGAGGUGAAAUUCGUAGAUAUUCGGAAGAACACCAGUGGCGAAGGCGGCUCACUGGUCCGGUACUGACGCUGAGGAGCGAAAGCGUGGGGAGCGAACAGG
rnacentral:rRNA from 1 species